UACUAAAAUUCUUCUCCUUCCCUUUCCCCAAAAUGUAGGUUCAAGACCCUCCAUCAGAUAUGCCAACUGUUGGCCCUUGGAGGAAGAUGCUAACUUCAAAAGAUACCAAUUUCAUUGGAUUUACUUUUAAGAAGUCAAACGUCAAAUCACUUGAGAGUACAGGUACGGAAAUUCAUUCGAACAUGUCAUGGAAAACACCGUCUCUAGUUUCCUUGUUGGGUCGAAUAGACUUGCAAGAAACUGUGAUACCAGAAGUUGAGCAAAAGCAGGAAGCAUAAGACUUUCCUUCUUCUGUGAGUAAAUUUUGCUGAAAAGAAAUUACACAAUAUAUAUGAGGUUUGCCCACAGUAGUUUGAUAUUAUAUGAAGAUUAUUAUCACUUUUAAGAUAAUGCUUCACUUCUGAAUACUGUUAUAUUUCAUUACAACUGUAAAGAAAAAUAAGCAUCUGAGUUCAAUAGGAUUAAUUUUUCUUCUUCA